UACGUAGGGGGCAGGCGUUGUCCGGAAUUAUUGGGCGUAAAGAGCGUGUAGGCGGUCCGGUAAGUCAGCUGUGAAAGUCAAGGGCUCAACCCUUGAAAGCCGGUUGAUACUGUCGGGCUAGAGUCCGGAAGAGGCGAGUGGAAUUCCCGGUGUAGCGGUGAAAUGCGCAGAUAUCGGGAGGAACACCAAUGGCGAAGGCAGCUCGCUGGGACGGUACUGACGCUGAGACGCGAAAGCGUGGGGAGCAAACAGG
rnacentral:rRNA from 1 species